UCCAGCAUGGUGUAGUGGUUUGAGUGUUGGACUUUGACUCUGGAGAUCAGGGUUCGAUUCCUUACUUGGAC